ACUUUUGUUUCUCUUCAUAUCGUAAAAUCUUUGGCCUUUCACUAAAGAUCUCCGUGGAGAGGAACAGUGAGAGGAUUAUCUGUCUCUGUGAUGCUCUUAGUAAAGCGGGC
ensembl:snRNA U5 U5 spliceosomal RNA